CUAGGUUAGCUUGUUUGAGCUUUUUGUGACAAACUUCAAAUGUAUGAACCCUUGACUUCCUUCGACGAACCAACAGGUCUACCACUAAGCCAAAGCUAAGGGACUCCUUGCGCUUCGUGCCCCAGGUGACUCCAAUAUAUCCAUUUCAAAAUUCAAGGCAUCACUCACCAGUUAAAAAAAAGGCAACUGAGUGAGGUGCAUCGAGGAAUACAUAUCGUGCGCGCUAGUCAGGGAUAAUCAUGAAUUCGGAACAUUGAAUGUGAACCAGGCUGGUUUCUCAGGCAAUGAUGAGCAUUAUCAGAUACAGUUUUGAUGAACAUCAAAUACAGAAUAUAUAAAUCAGGACCUACAAGGCAGUUGCAUCCGGUUCCUGCUAUUUCCAUCGCAGAGAUAGCAAGAAAUGGGUUGAUAAAUGCAAGCAUUGUAUAUUUACAAGGAUCUUACAGUUGUGAAAAAAAUUCAGCAAAUAAUAUCCACAUGAGAAAGAAAAAGACAUUGAUUGAACAAGAGAAACUGAAUGCGUAAAAUAAAUAAUACUCAGAAAAUUGAUGGAAGCAUAAUGCAAGGCAUGAAUUGAAGAUCGGCUAACCCAAUUUUUUCAGAAAUUUGCAGAUGCAUAAAUCAUGGCCAAGAAAUCCAGGAAAAAAAAAAAAAACAGAAUAUCGAAUUCAUCAAAAUUACAAGUAAAAUGCAUCAAAUUGAACCAAAGCCCCAAUCUAAAACUUCGAAUCAGCUUUUGAUGCAGAAUUUUUGAGCAUGGAGGCCGUUUGAUAAUUAUUUUUGAUUGGGAAACCUAUCGCACAAACUGAAUCAGAAAGGCUAUCGGAAUUUGUAAAUAUAAAUUGACGAAUUAUUACCUUCAUUUCUCUCAUUUGUUCAAGCAAACCUUUGUCUCUGAACUAAAAUUUAAAAUUGACCCAUCGGGAGCUAACUAGCAAGAGAGAGGGGGAGAUUGAAAAAGAGAGACAGGAGGAGACAGAAUACUGGUUAUUCUGUUAAAAAAAUAGUUGUAGAAAGAUAGAAACCAGGACAUUCCAUCGAAUUAAGAGAGAGAGAGGGCCCGAUUAUUCCAUCAAAUAAAAGAGAGUGACGCAGAGAGAGAGAGAGAGAGAGAGAGAGAGAGAGAGAGAGUAACGUGGGUCCAUAAGUCCAUUUGACGGAGCGCGAGGGUUCAUGUGCGCGCGCGCGAAA
rnacentral:lncRNA from 1 species